rnacentral:rRNA from 1 species
UACGUGAGGUGACCAGCGUUGUCCGGAUUUACUGGGCGUAAAGAGCGCGCAGGCGGUCGUUCAAGUCGAGUGUGAAAGCCCCCGGCUCAACUGGGGAGGGUCACUUGAUACUGAUCGACUCGAAGGCAGGAGAGGGAAGCGGAAUUCCCGGUGUAGUGGGUGAAAUGCGUAGAUAAUCGGGGAGGAACACCAGUGGCGAAGGGCGGCUUUCUGGCCUGUUCGUUGACGCUGAGG